CUGGAUGUGUGUGCAACAGGACCGCCUUCCAUCAAGAGACGUGUGCUCAAGAUCCUCAACCUCCGCAAUGCAUCAGUCAAGACCAUCAAGAAUAUCAUGAGAGAAUAUGCCAGUAACCUAGGAGAUGGAACGAACUCAGACGCGCAGGCAGAAGAGCAGGACAGAAUACUCGACUUGCUUGAUAAGUUCCAAAACACGUGAGACCAACUGAGGCCAGAGUGCUAGGGUGCAUGCUGAAGGAGGAGGAGGAGGAGGAGAAGGAAAAGGAAAAGGAAGAAGAGAAGGAGGAGGAGGAGGAGGAGGAAGAGGAAAAGGAAGAAGAGAAAGAGGAGGAGGAGGAUAUGCAGCUAUCUCCUUGGACAGUGAGACUUCUCUUUUAGGCUGAAUGAGUUGUGGUUUUGUUAGAUUGAGAACUUUUCCUCUCAGACUGGUUCACUUCAGAAGUACAAAGAUGCUUAUUAGAAAAGAAAAUCCAUCACUACUAUGCUUUUUAUUUUUCUUUAAUGUUUUUCGUCAUCAUUAUUAUUAUUAUUAUUUUUAUUGAUCAUCAUUACUGUUACUGUGCUCUUGUUACAAUCAUUAUUACUAAAUUCCAUUGUUAUUAUUAUAUUCAUUGUUAUUACCAGCCGUGUUAUUAUUAGGCCUAAUGUGCCCAACAAUUCUUUAAUGUUCAGAGAGACAAGACACAAGGAGGCAGAAAGAAUAUCUCUUCUCCUUCCUAAUUCAGUCUGUUAUGAUUAGUUUUUUUAAGGUUUAUUCUUAGAUAUGUCUUUUUGCUUAUAUUUCUUUUUCUUUUUUAUCCCCCAUUCUUAUAAAUAUAUAUCUAUGGGUACGUUUUUUCUUCUUUCCUAGAUUUCAUUCUGUCUGUCAUGUCGUGUCUGUGAAAUUCUGUCCGAGCGUCACCAGUAGUCGGUAGUCAUUUUUCAUUUAGGUGUGAAAAUCAAGAGCAUUUUUAAAUUAUGUUGAUGAUCAAAAUGAAAAAGUAACAGUAGUUA